CUGGGGGUAUGCCUUAGAGACUGCCGCCCAUAUUCUUAAUCUAGUCCCUACAAAGAAAGUUGCCAAAACUCCUCACGAGAUGUGGACUGGUAAAGUACCUAAACUAGACCACAUCAAGAUUUGGGGUUGCGAGGCUUUCGUGAGACGCGAGACUCAUGAUAAGCUCGAACCUCGAAGCGAGAGGUGUAUUUUCAUCGGUUACCCACAGCGAUCCUUUGGUUACCUCUUCUACAGACCUAGUGACAAUGUGGUCUUUGUAGCAAGAAGAGGAGUCUUUCGAGAAAGAGAGUUUAUAAGCCAAGGAGACAGUGGGAGGCAAAUUGAUCUUGAAGAAAUUCAAGAAUCAAGCGGUGAAGGAACUUCAAACUCUAGCCCUCAACUUGAGGAGGAAACUCCUGUUGAGCCAAUUGACAAAUCUGUACCUCUGAGACGUUCCACGAGAGUUAGGAGUGCACCUGAGCAUUACUAUGGAUUCCAUAUUACUGCAGAAGGUGAGACACUUAUUAGUGAUGAGACACUAGUAAGUCAAGAUGACCCUAACAGCUACGAGGAAGCCAUGGCAGGCCCCGAGUCUGCUAAAUGGAAAGAGGCUAUGGAUAGCGAGAUACAAUCCAUGUAUGACAAUCAAGUUUGGAACUUGGUUGAAAAUGUACCAGGUCGUAAGACAGUAGGGUGCAAAUGGGUCUUCAAGAAGAAGACCGACAUGGAUGGUAAAGUACACACUUAUAAGGCUAGACUGGUUGCAAAGGGCUUCUCUCAAAUUCCUGGAGUGGAUUAUGAUGAGACCUUUUCUCCGGUAGCCAAGAUUAAGUCUAUUCGGGUUCUGUUAGCCAUAGCUGCAUUUCAUGACUAUGAAAUAUGGCAGAUGGAUGUCAAAACCGCUUUCCUUAAUGGAAAGUUGGCUGAAGAUGUUUACAUGAGUCAGCCAGAGGGUUUUGUCAGCAACGAGUACCCUAAUAGAGUGUGUAAGCUUGAGAAAUCCAUUUAUGGAUUGAAGCAAGCACCUCGCAGAUGGAAUCUUUGCUUUGAUGAAAAGGUCAAGGAAUUUGGCUUUUCUAGGAGUGAAGAUGAAUCUUGUGUGUAUGUCAAGGCUAGUGGGAGUAUAGUUAGCUUUUUGGUAUUGUAUGUGGAUGACAUACUACUCAUAGGAAACGACAUUCCAACCCUGCAGGAAGUAAAGUCCUGGCUUGGGAAGUGUUUCGCUAUGAAGGACCUUGGUGAAGCUGCCUAUAUUCUAGGGAUAAGAAUCUUGAGAGAUCGGAGUAAAAGACUAAUUGGACUUAGUCAGAGUACCUACUUGGAUAAGGUGCUGAAGAGAUUCAGCAUGCAGGAUUCCAAGAAAGGAGAGUUACCCAUCCAGAGUAACACCAGAUUGAGUAAGACACAAAGCCCUAGCACUGAGGCUGAGAUAGCAGAAAUGAGUCGAACACCUUACGCUUCGGCUGUAGGAUCGAUCAUGUAUGCUAUGACGUGUACUCGACCCGAUGUAGCUUUUGCCUUGAGCAUGGUUAGCAGGUAUCAGGCGAACCCUGGCAAGGCACACUGGACUGCGGUAAAGAAUAUCCUCAAGUACCUACGGAGGACUAAGGACUGGGUCCUUACCCUCGGUGGGAGUGAUGACUUGAGAGUUGUAGGGUAUAGUGAUGCUAGCUUCCAGACUGAUAGGGAUAAUUUCCGCUCUCAGUCGGGCUGGGUCUUUACCCUAAACGGAGGAGCAAUUUCUUGGAAGAGUUCCAAGCAAGAGACAGUGGCAGAUUCUACUUGUGAAUCAGAGUAUAUUGCAGCUAGCGAAGCAGCAAAGGAGGCGAUAUGGCUGAAGAACUUCAUUGGAGACCUUGGAGUUGUACCAGCUAUUAAAGAGCCAAUGGAAAUUUUCUGUGAUAGUGAAAGUGCUGUUGCCUUAGCCAAGGAACCAAGGGAUCAUGGGAGAUCCAGACACAUCGACAGAAAAUACCAUUUCAUUAGACAUCGGAUCGAAGAAGGACUCCUCGUGGCAAAGAGGGUAUCAUCGGAUGAGAACCCAGCAGAUCCCCUCACGAAGGGACUGAGUAGGGUUAAGCAUCUCCAGCAUGCUCGGAGCAUAGGGCUGAAGGAUGAUAUAAGUUUUAGUAGUUAGAUAACCCAGAAAUUUGUAAAGUGUAAUUGACAUUUGAUGAUGAAUAAAAGGUGUUUUAUUUAUGAGUAAAGUGUUGCUAUCUCUUGUCAAUCGUUUACUAUAUUUCUUUUGCAUGUUUUGACUUCCAGAAUAAUUUUGUUUGGUGUAACAUAUUAUUCAAACCUCCACAGUCGGUCAUAUGUCGGAAGUAGGUAUGAAUCAAGACUGUCAUGAUGGGUUGUAGAGGUCUAAGGUGUUGGACAAGGCUACAACAAUCAUGAGUGCUCAUAAGUUCUGAGCAUUGGACUCAACCCACGCUCACUGGAAUCACUUCAUGGAAUUCUAUCUCGAGUGAUCGUGAGACGGUAAUAUCAUAUAAGUCUUCAAACCUAGAGAUAUGAUUUGUUACUUACAAGUUGGUUAUGCAUUGACUGUACGAAACCGCAUUGGUAACUCGAUGUUAUAAAACGUACUUUUGUGUGUAAUUCAAUGAGUGGUAGAACAAACAUAUGAGUCGAAGUUUAUCUGUUCCUUCUUGGAUUAGAAGCUGAUAUCUGGGCCCCUCGAUGAUUUUGUUUUGACCCAUGUACCGGGCCCGGUCAGAACUAAGUUGAUGUGUUCAAUUAAGUUCUAUGUCAAACAAAUCGGAAAUCGGGAAACAAAUGCUGGACAAUAAGCAAGACAAUGUUCCAUGUAUUUGUCCGGCUGAUAUCUAGAACGGAGGAUUAUAUGAUCACUUAUCUUAAAUGGCGUACCAUCAUCUUCUCAGUUCCGAGAGACCUUGAAAGAGCUACGAUUGCCGGUCGGUUCCUGAAGUACUAGAGAUAUAGUUAUUAGACUUAUCCAAGUGGGAGACUGUUGGAUAAGGUGUCUAAGUCCAUAACUAUUUCGGGCUUGUACUUGACCCGACCCGGCAUGGUCCAUUUGGGUUGCAUGGCACCAUGCAAUUGGAUAGACUAAAUGAGAGAAAUAACACUUGGAGAUUAUUAAUAUAUUAUAAGUUCUAAUAUAUUAAUAAUAUUAUUUGAUUAGUUGAUCAAAGAAUUAAUUUGGAAUUAAUUAAGUGAUCAAAGGAUAACUAAUUAAAUAUAUGGGUUGAUUAUGUAAAUCAUCCAUAUCUUGUAUAGUGGGCUAAGAGGCUCCAUGGAUUAUCAAGUUGGGUUCUACCCAUAGGAUGCUCCAUGGAUGCUCCAUGGGAGUUACAAACCCAUGGGUCAUGGAAAUGAAGAGUCAUGACACAUUAGGGUUUACAUGGUGUAACCCUAGAUGUGUCAACACUAUAUAAGAAUCAUAUUCUCCACCAAAAUCGGCUACACUAAGAAACUAGAGGGCUUGGCCGAUUUUGAGAAGUGUGUGUUAUCUCAAGAGUCUUUCCAAGAGCAUUUGGUGUUGUGUGAAGCAUUUGAGGCAUCACACUUGGGGUGCUAGGCUCACAAGGUUUCAAGGAACACAAGCAACAACAAGGUAAGUUAUUCUAUCUAUGAUUCAAGUUAAAAUUGUUCCCCAUGUAUGCUAGAUAGGAAUAUAACCUUGGAAUUCAACUUUGCAUGAUAAUUAGACAAACAUAGAUCCAAGGUUAUUAGGGUUGCAUGUACACUUAGGAAGUGUUAGAAUGCUCAAAACCCAUCAGUGGUAUCAGAGCCUAGGCUUGUUUGUUUGUUAUUUGUGCUUAAAAGUUGAAGAAAGUCGAAAAUCUUGCUGUCUGACUGAUGGACUCGGCGAGUCCAUGGGGAGGACUCGUCGAGUUCAUGUGUAUCUUCAACCUACUCGGCGAGUAGGUUUAUGCACUCGGCGAGUAGGGUCGACAGAGUGCAGAAUUUCGACUUGAGUUGCUGGAAAUGGAUUAGAAUCAUUACCCUAAAAUGUUUUGGUACUUGAAAACUUAUUUUAGAAGGUGUAAUGUCUUUUCUAACUCAUUUACAACAACUAGUUAUCAAAAUUACAAAGAUUAAAUGUGAUUUUGAUUCUUGAAAGUGUUCAUAUUCAUAUUCUUGUUCUUAUGAUGUUUAGAUGAUCAUAGGAAUUAUUUGUAACCUAUGUGGUAGAUUAAUUCAUGAUCAUAAUGUGUUUUAAUGGAGUCCAUAACUUGUCCUCAAGUUAUGGAAAACCAAAAGUCUCUUGGAUUAAAAACCAUUAAAAGAACACAAGAGUUAGGAAAAAUGAAAAGUCCUCAUUUUAUUACUCUAUUAAACUCAUAAGUUACAAGAAAUGAAAAGUUUUGAAAGUUUACAAAACUUGCCCUCAAGUUUUGGAACAAGUAAAGUUAAGUUAAAACUUUAGUUCCAACCCCUAGAAUUUUAAAAGUUAAAAUUCAACCCUUAUACUUAUAUUAUUAUGAUUUAAUAAUUAUAUAUAUAUGUAUAAGAACAAAGUCGUCUUACCGCUAGUACGCCUCAUUCACGAAGCCGGUCUAUAAGGUGGGUAUAAGGUUGUUGCCUAUAAAAUGGUGACUUAAUGGGUGUCCACUCUCACCCACCGCUUGCUUGAUCGGUGGAGGGUCGUUAGCCGAACGGGUAAGACAAGGACUUAUUAAUUCUCAUUCAAAGUAUGAUGAAUAUUAUAAAGUAACUAAAUGUUUUAUUAAAUUCCCAAUCUUAGUUACUUUAGGAAAAAUGUGAAUAAGGUGCUAUUCCAUGAAAUUACACUUUACACUUUGAUUAAGUCGUUGGUGGAGCGUGUGUGGUUAACCGGCACACUAACUUGGACUUAACAAGGUAGGUAAAGGGUGACUUAGGGUUUAUUAUAGUAUCGAUGGAGCGUGUGUGGUUAACCGGCACAUCGAUUGAGUGAUAAACUUUAAGGGUACCAAGUGAUUUGCAUGGUUACUUCACACCUCGUUUUGUGAUCCUCGGUAUCCCAGUCACAAAACUUGGAGGGCACACUCGAGAUUGAAACAUGCCUUUGAAAAGUUCAUUGAAUCUCAAAGAAUCUAGGAAUUUCUAAGAACCAUUCAAAAACCUAAUACUAAAAUAUUGCGGUUUUCGUGGUGGAAAUUGGUGAAUCGUCAUUCACCUACCUUUCAAAUAUGAUAUAGCUUAGAUUACGGCAUACCUCUUCUAAGUUAUAUUAUAUUGUGAUUGGAUCCUAGCCUUAAUAUUACAUUUGGGUGUUUUAUUAAGGACUCUCUUAUAUCUAAACUAAUCUUGUCCUCUUUCCUUCAGAUGUCUUUCAACAAUGCUUCUGGCUCUAAUCCUAAUGGCUCCUUUACCCUUAUGAACUUGUGUGGGAAAGUCACCUUUGAUGGAUCCAACUUCAAUGAGUGGAUCAGAAACAUCAGGAUGAUUACCCGCUACGAGGACAAAGAAUAUGUCCUUGACAAGGAGCUUAAGGAGAUUGAUGAGUCCACUGCAACUCCUCAGGAGAUCGCUGAAUUUCGGGCACAUGAAAGGGAUGCUACGAAAGUGGCUUGCAUCAUGAUGGCCACGAUGACAGCGGAACUCCAAAAGUCUUAUGAGGAUUUCUACCCUUAUGAAAUGCACCAAGAUUUGAUGGAAAGAUACCAUCAAAGUGCAAGACAAGAGAGGUAUGAAAUCAUCUGCUCCAUGAUAACAACCAUGAUGAAGGACGGGGAAUCCGUCACGAGCCACAUGCAGAAAAUGCAAAGGUAUGUGGAUCGUUUGCUGAAGCUUAAUGUGAACUUCCCGGAGGAUCUUGCAAUAGAUAUUAUUUUGCAUUCCUUACCAUCGUGCUAUGAUCAAUUCCGCAUGACAUAUCACAUGAACAAGGAAGAAGUCACCCUCAGCAAACUUCAGGGACUUCUCAAGACCGCAGAAUCAGGUCUUAAGGGGAAGUCGGUUGCUAUCACUCCUACUCAAAACUCUACUCCGGUUUUGGCAAUCGGGAAAAGUCGAGGGAGGAAGAGAAAGAGCUCUUCUAAGGGUACCAAGGUUCGGACCCUUGAUGGCUCUUCUUCAAGUGGAACCAAGAAAGGUUUCAUUACUCCUUCUUCUGACCCAAAAGAGGCUGAAUGCUUCUAUUGCCAUGAAAAAGCUCAUUGGAAGCGGAACUGCCCAAAAUACCAGCAAGAUGUGAAGGAUGGGAAAGUUAAACCCAACCAUGCAGGUAUUUACACUAUCAUUUCUAAUAACUCACCCCAUUCUAAUUCUUGGGUCCUUGAUACCGGGUGUGGUAUUCACAUUUGUUGUGACUUGCAGGGACUAAGAAGAAGUGAGGAUGUGGAGCAAGGAAGGAUAAACUUGAUCAUGGGGAAUAGGAAAGCUAUACCUGUUACCAAGAUUGGAGUUUAUACUUUAUCGCUAAGUAGUGGGUUUAGUUUAGAUUUGAAUAAGUGUUGUUAUUCGCCAGGAAUGGCAAGAAAUAUUAUUUCCUUUCAUGCUUUGUACAAACAAGGGUUUACCUUUUCAUUUAAUAAUGAAGUUGGUUCUAUAGAUGUUUUCUAUAAUAAUGUCUUUUAUUUUAAAGCAUUACCUUGUGAUGGUGUGUAUGAAGCUGUAUCUGUUGUAGAUAACUUGGGAAAUAAUGUUUUGUGUAUUGAUUCUACUAAUAAUAACUUGGAUAAAGCAUCUUUAUGGCAUUGUCGUCUUGGACAUAUAAGCAAGAAACGCAUAGGCCAACUCCAAAAGGAUGGAGUCUUGGAGUCAUUUGACCUAAAGUCAGAUGAUAGUUGCGAAUCAUGCUUACUUGGAAAAAUGACAAAGUCACCCUUCACAGGUUCUUGUGAGAGGGGUGAAGGUUUGUUGGAUCUUGUACACACGGAUGUGUGUGGACCAUUCAAACAUGACACAAGGGAUGCUAAUCGUUAUUAUUUGACUUUUACUGAUGAUUAUAGUAGAUAUAGAUAUGUCUACUUAAUCAAGCAUAAGUCAGAGACUUUUGAAAGGUUUAAAGAAUUUAAAUAGGAAGUCGAGAAUCAAUUAGGCAGGAACAUUAAGAUGCUUCGAUCCGAUCGAGGUGGUGAGUAUCUUAGUUCAGAGUUCCUCGACUAUCUAAGGGAAUGUGGGAUAGUCUCACAAUUGACACCUCCCAGGACACCACAGCUGAAUGGUGUGACUGAGAGGCGUAAUCGAACCUUGUUGGAUAUGGUUCGUUCCAUGAUGAGUCGAGCUUCGCUACCAAUCUCAUUUUGGGGGUAUGCCUUAGAGACUGCCGCCCAUAUCCUUAAUCUAGUCCCUACAAAGAAAGUUGCCAAAACUCCUCAUGAGAUGUGGACUGGUAAAGUACCCAAACUAGACCACAUCAAGAUUUGGGGUUGCGAGGCUUUCGUGAGACGCGAGACUCAUGAUAAGCUCGAACCUCGAAGCGAGAGGUGUAUUUUCAUCAGCUACCCACAGCAAUCCUUUGGUUACCUCUUCUACAGACCUAGUGAAAAUGUGGUCUUUGUAGCUAGGAGGGUUGUCUUUCGAGAGAGAGAGAGAGUUUAUAAGCCAAGGAAACAGUUGUAGGC
rnacentral:lncRNA from 1 species